UUUUUCUUUUAUUAAAAAAGCUUUACAUAGAAGAAAUAAGGGAAUUCAGAAGCGCUGAACAAGAACAGCUGUAAUGACUCUAUGAGGCAACAAAUGUCCAGUUACUACAGCCUGCCAUUUUAGUGAGGUGGGUAACUCAGGCUCACCAGCCACCAGAUCUCAGCUGUGAGAGCCCCCUCUUGGGCACGAAACACCCACUAAUCGGAGCUUUUCUUGCACCACUGCAACUGCACAUUCUUAAAACGAGCUAAGCCAACAAAAGCACUCUUGUCAUCCUAGCUAUACACAAGAGUAUGCCAGUAGAACUUAACUGGAGCACAAGAAUCUUUUUUACAGGCAAAGUGUGCCCUGAGGUUUUCCCUACAGUUAUGAAAGACCAGAAGACAUUUCCCACAUUUUAAAUAAAUUACAAUUUGUCCCAAUUACCAUACCAAGUUAAAUCAGAAACUCAGAACCCAGGAUCUUGUUUCUGCAAUACUGGUCAAACAUGAAUGCAUAGGAAGCAAGGAACAGGACAUGCAUAUUGUUAUAAUCCCAGUCCCUAGCCUUCUAUGGCUCAAGACUUGACCCCAUAACAGUAUCUGUAUAUUUAGCAGAUCAAUUCUACUUUCUUGAUUUUGCCCAGGUUUUUUUUAGGCCCAUGAAAGAUUUUGGCAUUCAUAGCUCCUGGGUAAAAAGACGCAAGAGGUGUUCUCAUUAAAGGUAACAUUUGUCAGUUCAGCAUAAGAGUUAGAAGUAUAUAAAAUUAUGCUUCCUCUCUAAUACUGAAAAACUUAAGCACCACUACCAUCUGCAAAUAAGGAACAAGGAUCUAAGACUCUGGUCAGACAGAAUAGUUGCAAGAACCUUGCUUAUCCCAAAGAAUAAUUCUACUCUAUUGCAAAGUUCAUAGAUGUCCCGGCUCCAGGACAGCUUCACAAUUCACAAAGCAGAGUGUUACUACAAAAAGGCAUAUACUGAGAUCAAUGUCAUUAAGAAGCAAGCUUGAAGAGCGUCUUGUUUAAAGGUCCACGUUCAAACUUUAGCAUGAUCUUUUGUUCUAUUUGGUAAAUGUGGGGCUUACAUUUUUCCUUUGAUUUUUAGCAUGGCCUCUUUCUGCAAACAGCAUCCUUACAUGAUCUAAGUCAAAAACCUGCCUUAGAUCAUGGAUUAAGUUAAACUGACUUAGGUUACUUUGUACAUACUCUUCAUCUGUCAUUUAGGGACUGUUGUAUCUUAAAGCUAAUGCAAACACCCUCUUGGGAAUCAGUUAUAAACCUAGAAAUAUUAUUUAACUACCCAUCCAGUUCAGAAACAAACUUGCUUAUAGGUCUCCAGCUUAGAUCCAAACCAGGAAGUGAGAUACAACUCAGAUUCCAAACC
rnacentral:lncRNA from 1 species